rnacentral:rRNA from 1 species
AUGGCCUUGUUGGGUGCAUGGAGCAAACCCCAUGUGGGGGUUACAGAUCCAUUCAUUGGAGAAACCUUGGCGCUGCGAGAUGGAGUUAUUUUUGCUAAUCUUUGCGGUUUCUCUCAUGUAAUUCUGGAAACAGACUGCCUAGAGAUUGUCAAUCUCUGGAAUCAUCGACACAAUGGUUUAUCUGUUGUGGCACCGCUUCUUGUAGAAAUUGGAGAGCUAGCGUCAUCUUUUGCUUCUUUUCAUAUUCAACAUGUAUCAAGAUCAGCCAAUGUACCGGCUCAUUUUUGUGCAAAGCAUGCAUGCACACUGCUGGUUACCGAAAGUUGGACUGAUUCUAGACCCUCUUUCCUGCUCACUAGCCUUCUGGCUGAUGAUCCCAGGAGUUCUUUUGUUGAAUAA